GGUCAGUCGAUCAGACCUAAAACAGUCAAUUCACGGGACGGCGGUUACAGUCCUAAAACAACCUA
rnacentral:ncRNA from 1 species